GCCGGAGUGGUGGAAUUGGGAGACGCGCCGGACUCAAAAUCCGGUGGACUUUAAAGUCCGUGAGGGUUCGAAUCCCUCCUCCGGCA
rnacentral:tRNA from 1 species